GGGAAAGUGGCUCAGUGGUAGAGUGCUUGUCUUGCAUACAUGAAGUCCUGGGUUCGAUUCCUCAGCACCA
rfam:Dipodomys ordii contig_50003, whole genome shotgun sequence.